rnacentral:misc_RNA from 1 species
AAGUCGUAACAAGGUCUCCGUAGGUGAACCUGCGGAGGGAUCAUUAACACUAUUUGGCUAGCAUUGUUGAGUAUCUCGCAAGAGAGAAAACACGAUGGUAGUUCAAAUUUUCACACACCUGUCGAACUAGGUUACUUCGGUAACCAAUCCCUCUGUUUCAAGUAUUAGGUUGUAACUGUGACGAAGUGAGCUCUCUCUGUGUUUCCCUUUCGGGGGAAGCAUGGAAACGGCAACUUUACAACUAUGACUUGAGAUGGUAAUUUUUUGGGGACACCACACUUCAGGUGUCUCGACCCCUUUAGCCUUUUUUUUUUCACCACCGUAAGCCAUUCGACUGAUUUAAAGAAGCAAAUUGAAAGGUUUGUCUUCUUCAAGAUAACUAAACUAAGCACAACUCUUAGCAACGGAUAUCUUGGUUCUC